AUGCACGCUGGCGGCGUGCCUAAUACCUGCCAGUCGCGCGAACAGACGAGGAGCUUGCUCCUCUGACGUUAGCGGCGGACGGGUGAGUAACACGUGGAUAACCUACCUAUAAGACUGGGAUAACUUCGGGAAACCGGAGCUAAUACCGGAUAAUAUAUUGAACCGCACGGUUCAAUAGUGAAAGACGGUUUUGCUGUCACUUAUAGAUGGAUCCGCGCCGCAUUAGCUAGUUGGUAAGGUAACGGCUUACCAAGGCAACGAUGCGUAGCCGACCUGAGAGGGUGAUCGGCCACACUGGAACUGAGACACGGUCCAGACUCCUACGGGAGGCAGCAGUAGGGAAUCUUCCGCAAUGGGCGAAAGCCUGACGGAGCAACGCCGCGUGAGUGAUGAAGGUCUUCGGAUCGUAAAACUCUGUUAUUAGGGAAGAACAAAUGUGUAAGUAACUAUGCACGUCUUGACGGUACCUAAUCAGAAAGCCACGGCUAACUACGUG
rnacentral:rRNA from 1 species